CUGGGGAGUACGUCGCAAGAUUAAACUCAAGGAAUUGACGGGGACCCGCACAAGCGGUGGAUGAUGUGGAUUAAUUCGAUGCAACGCGAAAAACCUUACCUACCCUUGACAUGCCAGGAACCCUGCUGAGAGGUGGGGGUGCUCGAAAGAGAGCCUGGGCACAGGUGCUGCAUGGCUGUCGUCAGCUCGUGUCGUGAGAUGUUGGGUUAAGUCCCGCAACGAGCGCAACCCUUGUCAUUAGUUGCCAUCAUUUAGUUGGGCACUCUAAUGAGACUGCCGGUGACAAACCGGAGGAAGGUGGGGAUGACGUCAAGUCCUCAUGGCCCUUAUGGGUAGGGCUUCACACGUCAUACAAUGGUCGGUACAGAGGGUUGCCAAGCCGCGAGGUGGAGCCAAUCCCAGAAAGCCGAUCGUAGUCCGGAUCGUAGUCUGCAACUCGGCUGCGUGAAGUCGGAAUCGCUAGUAAUCGUGGAUCAGCAUGCCACGGUGAUACGUUCCCGGGUCUUGUACACACCGCCCGUCACACCAUGGGAGUGGGUUUCACCAGAAGUAGGUAGCCUAACCGCGAGGGGGCGCUUACCACGGUGGGAUUCAUGACUGG
rnacentral:rRNA from 1 species